CGUCUUAAGACGUAACACCAUUCCCUUGCAUUUAGUGGUGAGUGUCGCUGUCGAGAGAGAGUUGAGUCGCUCUUACGAAGGAAGGACGUUGCUACCGUCGUUAGCAAAGACGCUUUCGAGAUACGGACCCCAGGGCCGCUGGCAGCUUUUGGACAGGCCCAGGGACAAGGUCAACUGAAAGGCUCAGCUCAGCUCGUUCCAUGUUACGAGGACCCAAUUCUGGGGCCCCUCUCUCCCUGGGCCUGGGACAACUGACCCUGUGUUAUUGUCCCGCCCUGUUGGCCUCCCUCACAACACAACACAAUCAGCCAACGACUCUACACAAGACAACACAACACAAUUAGCCAACGACUCUACACAACACAACACAACACAACACAAUUAGCCAACGACUCUACACAACGCAACACAACACAAUCAGCCAACGACUCUACACAACACAACACAACACAACACAACACAACACAACACAACACAAUCAGCCAACGACUCUACACAAGACAACACAACACAAUUAGCCAACAACUCUACACAACACAAGGCAGUUAGCCAACGACUCUACACAACACAACACAAUUAGCCAACGACUCUACACAACACUACACAACACAACACAACACAACACAGUUAGCCAACGACUCUACACAACACAAGACAACACAAUUAGCCAACAACUCCACACAACACAACACAGUUAGCCAACUAACCUACACAACGAGCCAACUACUCUACUCAACACACCACAGUUAGGGCUGCGGUUGCCACCACCAGAGUUGCUCGUUAGCCACUUAGCAUCGGAGUUGGUGGUCGCGUCAAUGGGUGUUGCCAUUGCUAUCGUCACAGUAGCUAACUUAACUUAGCUAGCGACAGCGGGUCGAGGAAAUGCCCACCAGGCAGCCAGUGGGCCUGCCAAUCAACACAAGCCAACCAGCCAGUCAGCCAAUCAACACAAGCCACCCAGCCAGUCAGCCCAUCAACACAAGGCAACCAGUCGGCCGGCCAAUCAACACAAGCCAACUGAGGAAAUCAGCUAAUGAGCCGCCUCCUCCUCCUCUGGACUUGCUGUUUGUCUGAAGACGUGUGUUGGACUGUGUGUGUUUGACUGUGUGUAGGUCUGUGUGUGUUUGACUGUCUGUAGGUCUGUGUGUAGGUCUGUGUGUGUUUGACUGUGUGUAGGUGUGUGUUUGUUUAACUAGGUGAGCGUUUUAUUUGUGAAUUAAAAGGGACAUAUGUCACACACACACUCCCAAGUGUGUGUACAGGUCGUCGACUGUGGGCCGUGUGUGUGUGUGUGUGUGUGUGUGUGUGUGUGUGUGUGUGUGUGUGUGUGUGUGUGUGUGUGUGUGUGGAGAGGUCGCUGUGCUGGACUGUGUGUGUGUGUGUGUGUGUGUGUGUGUGUGUGUGUGUGUGUGUGUGUGUGUGUGUGUGUGUGGAGAGGUCGACUGUGGGCCGUGUGUGUGUGUGUGUGUGUGUGUGUGUGUGUGUGUGUGUGGAGAGGUCGCUGUGCUGGACUGAGGUGCUGAGGCCAAUCGCUGAUCAUGUUUGUGGACACGACACAUUAGAGACUCUGAGCUUUUCUUAUAACCUUUUUAAUGGACAAUUACAGGCAACCACGACCACAUGGACUAUUGUCAAUAUGUGUGUGUGUGUGUGUGUGUGUGUGUGUGUGUGUGUAUGUGUGGAUGCAAGGGUGUGUGUGUGUGUGUGUUGUGCGUGAAUGCGUGCAAGGAUGUGUGUGUGUGCGUGCAAGGGUGUUUGUGCAUGCGUGCAAGCGAGGAUGUGUGUGUGUGUGUGUGUGUGUGUGUCCAUGCAUGCGUGCGAGGAUGUGUGUGUGUGUGUGUGUGUGUGUGUGUGUGUGUGUCCAUGCAUGCGUGCGAGGAUGUGUGUGUGUGUGUGUGUGCAUGCAUGCAUGCGAGGAUGUGUGUGCGCGAGACUGUAUGUGCUCUAAAGACUUGACCGGCCUGUAUAGUGUUGACGUGUGUACGCCACUUUUGCUGGAUUAUGGAUAUAAAAGAAUUGAUGAUCUUAA